UUGUGUCAGUCACUUGAUAAAUGAGCUAAAAAAUGGAAGAGCCGUUGAAGUUCAACAAGUUAAUGAUUUCAUCAUCGGAGUUCCUAUUGGAAUUGAAUUCAUUGUCGGUGAACAUAUCACAGAUUGUGUGGUUUGUGAACAAAAUAUUACAAAUCAUAUUUGUUUACCAUGCAACCAUUGGUUUGGAUGUUCACAGUGCGUACAAAACAUGCGAGCCCUUCUUGCUCGAGUGAAUGCGAACCUAAGUUGUCCAACUUGUGCCAACGUUGUAGAAUCAUUUGAAAUGAUUUUUUAAGUUCUAAAUUAACAUUAAUUUUUAACGAUAUUCACAAAAUAAGUAUGUAAUGAAUGAUAAAUCAUCGUUAUAUUUUUUUAUGUGUGCUCCAGUCUGAUUUAAGUAUCUUAUAUUAUAAAA